CUACGGACUUAAAAUCCGUCGACUUUAAAAAUCGUGAGGGUUC
rnacentral:tRNA from 1 species